AGAAGGUCUUCGGAUCGUAAACUUCUGUCAUUUGAGAACAAGUGUCGAAGCAAUAACUGGCUUCGAUUUGAUAGUACCAAAAGAGGAAGAGACGGCUAACUCUGUGCCAGCAGCCGCGGUAAUACAGGGGUCUCAAGCGUUGUUCGGAUUCAUUGGGCGUAAAGGGUGCGUAGGCGGUGCCGUAAGUCGGAUGUGAAAUCCCGAAGCUCAACUUCGGAACUGCAUUCGAUACUGCGGUGCUAGAGGACUGGAGAGGAGAUCGGAAUUCAUGGUGUAGCAGUGAAAUGCGUAGAUAUCAUGAGGAAGACCAGUGGCGAAGGCGGAUCUCUGGACAGUUCCUGACGCUGAGGCACGAAGGCUAGGGUAGCGAACGGGAUUAGAUACCCCGGUAGUCCUAGCAGUAAACGGUGCACGUUUGGUGUGGGAGGAUUCGACCCCUUCCGUGCCGGAGCUAACGCGUUAAACGUGCCGCCUGGGGAGUACGAUCGCAAGAUUA
rnacentral:rRNA from 1 species